rnacentral:rRNA from 1 species
GCAAAGGUAGCAUAAUCAUUUGCCUUUUAAUUGAAGGCUAGUAUGAAUGGAUAAAUGAGGACCUUGCUGUCUCUUUAAUAACUAUAAAAAUUAAUCUUUAGGUGAAGAAGCCUAAAUAACAAUAAAAGACAAGAAGACCCUAUUGAGCUUUACUUAUACUCUUUUCAAUUUAAUAUUAAUAUAUUUUAAUAAAGAUUAAUAAGUUUGGUUGGGGCGACAAAGGAAAACAAAAAUCUUCCUAAUAUCUAUCAGAUAAACUAAUCACACAAUGAUCCGACUUUAUCGAGCAAAGGAAGAAGCUACCAUAGGGAUAACAGGCUAAUUCUUCUAAAGAGCCCACAUUGAUAGAAGAGUUUGGCACCUCGAUGUUGGCUUAGGAUAUCCUCUUAAUGCAGCAGUUAAGAAGGGUUGGUUUGUUCAACC